rnacentral:tRNA from 1 species
GCCCAUCUAGCUCAUUUGAUAGAUCAUGAGACUCCUAAUCUCAAGGUCCUGGGUUUGUGCCUCAUGUUGGGCA